rnacentral:lncRNA from 1 species
GCCCCUCCCACGCGGACAGAGGUCAGCCCGAGCCCCUUGUCUCACACCGGCCCCUCCCAUGCUGAGAGAGGUCAGCGUGCCCCUUGUCUCACACCGGCCCCUCCCACGCUGAGAGAGGUCAGCCCAAGCCCCUUGCCUCACACCGGCCCCUCCCACGCGGACAGAGGUCAGCCCGAGCUCCUUGCCUCACACCGGCCCCUCCCACGCUGAGAGAGGUCAGUGUGAGCCCUUGCCUCACACCGGCCCCUCCCACGCGGACAGAGGUCAGCGUGAGCCCCUUGCCUCACACCGGCCCCUCCCUUGUCUCACACCGGCCCCUCCCACGCGGACAGAGGUCAGCGUGAGCCCCUUGCCUCACACCGGCCCCUCCCACGCUGAGAGAGGUCAGUGUGAGCCCUUGCCUCACACCGGCCCCUCCCACGCGGACAGAGGUCAGCGUGAGCCCCUUGCCUCACACCGGCCCCUCCCACGCUGAGAGAGGUCGGUGUGAGCCCUUGCCUCACACCGGCCCCUCCCACGCGGACAGAGGUCAGCGUGAGCCCCUUGCCUCACCCCGGCCCCUCCCACGCUGAGAGAGGUCAGUGUGAGCCCUUGCCUCACACCG